rnacentral:rRNA from 1 species
UACAGGGGGGGCAAGCGUUGUUCGGAAUUACUGGGCGUAAAGGGCUCGUAGGCGGCCAACUAAGUCCGACGUGAAAUCCCAAAGCUUAACUCUGGAACUGCGUCGGAUACUGGAUGGCUUGAAUUCGGGAGAGGGAUGCAGAAUUCCAGGUGUAGCGGUGAAAUGCGUAGAUAUCUGGAGGAAUACCGGUGGCGAAGGCGGCAUCCUGGACCGACAUUGACGCUGAGGAGCGAAAGCUAGGGGAGCAAACGGG